rnacentral:rRNA from 1 species
GAGUUUGAUCUUGGCUCAGGAUGAACGCUGGCGGCGUGCCUAAUACAUGCAAGUCGAGCGAACGGACGAGAAGCUUGCUUCUCUGAUGUUAGCGGCGGACGGGUGAGUAACACGUGGAUAACCUACCUAUAAGACUGGGAUAACUUCGGGAAACCGGAGCUAAUACCGGAUGAUAUUUUGAACCGCAUGGUUCAAAAGUGAAAGACGGUCUUGCUGUCACUUAUAGAUGGAUCCGCGCUGCAUUAGCUAGUUGGUAAGGUAACGGCUUACCAAGGCAACGAUGCAUAGCCGACCUGAGAGGGUGAUCGGCCACACUGGAACUGAGACACGGUCCAGACUCCUACGGGAGGCAGCAGUAGGGAAUCUUCCGCAAUGGGCGAAAACCUGACGGAGCAACGCCGCGUGAGUGAUGAAGGUCUUCGGAUCGUAAAACUCUGUUAUUAGGGAAGACAUAUGUGUAAGUAACUGUGCACAUCUUGACGGUACCUAAUCAGAAAGCC